AUUCCAGCUCCAAUAGCGUAUAUUAAAGUUGUUGCAGUUAAAAAGCUCGUAGUUGAACCUUGGACAAAGUGCGCGUGGUCUACCGCAAGGUAUGACUGCGGCGCUGCGUCUCUUUAGGGGGACUCGAUGCUUCGGUGUCGAGGUAACCCGUGUUACUGUGAAGAAAUUAGAGUGUUUAAAGCAGGCUAUCGCUUGAAUACAUCAGCAUGGAAUAACAAGUUGGACUUUGCUCCUACUUGUUGGUUUGAGGGGAAAAGUAAUGAUUAACAGGGACAGUUGGGGGUAUUCAUAUUUACAUGUCAGAGGUGAAAUUCUUGGAUUUUGGAAAGAUGAACUACUGCGAAGGCAUUUACCGAGGAUGUUCUCAUCA
rnacentral:rRNA from 1 species